rnacentral:rRNA from 1 species
AGAGGUUGAUUUUGGCUCAAGAUGAACGCUGGCGGCGUGCUUAACACAUGCAAGUCGAACGAAGCGCUUAAGAAUGAUUCUUCGGAUGAAUUCUUUUGUGACUUAGUGGCGGACGGGUGAGUAACGCGUGGGUAACCUGCCUCACACAGGGGGAUAACAGUUGGAAACGACCGCUAAUACCGCAUAACCCGCUAGGGCCGCAUGGCCCGGACGGAAAAGAUUUAUCGGUGUGAGAUGGACCCGCGUUGGAUUAGCUAGUUGGCAGGGUAACGGCCUACCAAGGCGACGAUCCAUAGCCGGCCUGAGAGGGUGAACGGCCACAUUGGGACUGAGACACGGCCCAAACUCCUACGGGAGGCAGCAGUGGGGAAUAUUGCACAAUGGGGGAAACCCUGAUGCAGCGACGCCGCGUGAGUGAAGAAGUAUUUCGGUAUGUAAAGCUCUAUCAGCAGGGAAGAAAAUGACGGUACCUGACUAAGAAGCCCCGGCUAACUACGUGCCAGCAGCCGCGGUAAUACGUAGGGGGCAAGCGUUAUCCGGAUUUACUGGGUGUAAAGGGAGCGUAGACGGCUAAGCAAGUCAGAAGUGAAAGGCUGGGGCUCAACCCCGGGACUGCUUUUGAA